GACCUUUAGUUUGAAACCCCGAAACCAGGUGAGCUACCCCGAGACAGCCUAUUGAGGGCCAACCCGUCUCUGUGGCAAAAGAGUGGGAAGAGCUCCGGGUAGAAGUGACAGACCUACCGAACCUGGUGAUAGCUGGUUGCCUAAGAAAUGGAUAGAAGUUCAGCCUCGUGCUCCCCAAAUCAAACAAACGUUAACAAGACGACAAGAGAAACACACGAGAGUUAGUUAAAGGGGGUACAGCCCCUUUGACAAAGGAUACAACCUUUCUAGGAGGAUAAAGAUCAUAAUACAUAAAACAUACUGUUCUAGUGGGCCUAAAAGCAGCCACCUAAACAGAAAGCGUUAAAGCUCAGACAGAUGAAAGUUUAUUAUCCUGAUAAUAUAUCUUAUUCCCCUAAAUACUAUUAGGCCAACCCAUGCCUACAUGGAAGAGAUUAUGCUAAAAUGAGUAACAAGAAGGCCCGCCCUUCUCCAAGCACAAGUGUAAGCCAAAUCGGACCAACCAUUGGCAAUUAACGAACUCAACCCAAGAGAGCAAUGUGGAUUACAAAAAAACCUAGAAAAACCCACAACCUAACUAUCGUUACCCCCACACUGGAGUGCAACAAAGGAAAGACUAAAAGAAAAGGAAGGAACUCGGCAAACACAAGCCUCGCCUGUUUACCAAAAACAUCGCCUCCUGCAACACAACCAAGUAUAGGAGGUCCAGCCUGCCCAGUGACUACAAGUUCAACGGCCGCGGUAUUUUGACCGUGCAAAGGUAGCGCAAUCACUUGUCUUUUAAAUAGAGACCUGUAUGAAUGGCCAAACGAGGGCUUAACUGUCUCCCUUUUCCAGUCAGUGAAAUUGAUCUACCCGUGCAGAAGCGGGUAUAAUAAUACAAGACGAGAAGACCCUUUGGAGCUUAAGGUACAAAACUCAACCACGUUAAGCAACUCAAUAAAAAGUGAAAACUUUGUGGAACAUGAGAUUUUACCUUCGGUUGGGGCGACCACGGAGGAAAGAAGAGCCUCCAGGUGGACCGGGAAAAUUUCCUAAAACCAAGAGAGACAUCUCUAAGCCACAGAACAUCUGACCAAAUAUGAUCCGGCUAAUACAAGCCGAUCAACGAACCAAGUUACCCUAGGGAUAACAGCGCAAUCCUCUCCCAGAGUCCAUAUCGACGAGGGGGUUUACGACCUCGAUGUUGGAUCAGGACAUCCUAAUGGUGCAGCCG
rnacentral:rRNA from 1 species